CCUACGGGAGGCUGCAGUGAGGAAUAUUGGUCAAUGGACGAGAGCUUGAACCAGCGAAGUAGCGUGAAGGAUGACUGCCCUCUGGGUUGUAAACUUCUUUUAUAUGGGAAUAAAAUGUUCCACGUGUGGGAUUUUGUAUGUACCAUAUGAAUAAGGAUCGGCUAACUCCGUGCCAGCAGCCGCGGUAAUACGGAGGAUCCGAGCGUUAUCCGGUUUUAUUGGGUUUAAAGGGAUCGUAAGUGGAUUGUUAAGUCAGUUGUGAAAGUUUGCGGCUCAACCGUAAAAUUGCAGUUGAUACUGGCAGUCUUGAGUACAGUAGAGGUGGGCGGAAUUCGUGGUGAAGCGGUGAAAUGCUUAGAUAUAACGAAGAACACCGAUUGCGAAGGCAGUUCACUGGACUGCAACUGACACUGAGGCUCGAAAGUGUGGGUAUCAAACAGGAUUAGAUACCCCAGUAGUC
rnacentral:rRNA from 1 species